GUGAAUCAUCGAAUUUUUGAACGCAUAUUGCACUCCCUGGUAUUCCGGAGAGCACGCCUGUUUGAGCGUCGGUUUAAAUACAUAUCGGUGUGGUUGCUGCCUUUCGUGGUACCGCACGGGAUUUGGGUCGUCUUGCCGUCGGUUAAGUGACCUCUAAUGUUGCAUGAUUUUUUCGAACGUAUUUAAAUGAUUUUAGGUGCGCUUGCGAUAUCGAAUUCUAG
rnacentral:misc_RNA from 1 species